rnacentral:rRNA from 1 species
UGGGGAAUAUUGCACAAGGGGCGCAAGCCUGAUGCAGCCAUGCCGCGUGUAGGAAGAAGGCAUUCGGGUGGGAAAGUACUUUCAGUCGGGAGGAAGGUGGUAAGGUGAAGAACCUUGGCAAGUGAAGGUACCGACAGAAGAAGCACAGGAUAACUCCGUGCCAGCAGCCGCGGUAAUACGGAGGGUGCAAGCGUUAAGCGGAAUUACUGGGCGUAAAGCGCACGCAGGCGGUUGAUUGAGUCAGAUGUGAAAUCCCCGGGCUUAACCCGGGAAUUGCAUCUGAUACUGGUCAGCUAGAGUCUUGUAGAGGGGGGUAGAAUUCCAUGUGUAGCGGUGAAAUGCGUAGAGAUGUGGAGGAAUACCGGUGGCGAAGGCGGCCCCCUGGACAAAGACUGACGCUCAGGUGCGAAAGCGUGGGGAGCAAACAGG